GCCUCGAUGGUGUAAUGGUAGAGCCCGCAUCCCCGGGUACGAUGAAACGCGGGUUCGAUUCCUGCCUGAGGCA